GAAGUGGCCUUUUCCCCUCUUGUUUUUGCCAUCUUAAGCUGGAAAUUGCGUAUGGUGUGGUCUGAAUAUAAUAGGAUGUUAGGUACUUUCCUGAGUUUGCCUCAAACAUGACCGCCAACAGUGCCUUCUCUCAUGAGGUACUUAAUCCAGGUACCAUUCAUUCAGAUCCUUCAGAAGUGAUUUCUUAAUGAGAUUUAAAGUUAUUGUGAAUGAGGAUUUAGAGCAUGUUCAACAAUUUUCAUUGCAGUCUCACUUAGUAGAGGAAUCUGCUUCCCGUACUCUUUCUUUUUAUAUGUAUCUCUAGGUAAUGGUACUUCAAGGGAACUAGGUCAAUAGCAGUGUAACUCAAACUUGACUGACCCAUGCAAACUGCUUGUUAUUUUAAUGUGAGAUGCUUUUCUGGUCUUUAUCCAACUUAGAGCCGAUUCAGUGUCCCAUUUUUAAAGAAUCUCUAGAGAGGAGGAUUCCAUGGCUUCUCUUGAGGUUUCACUGUAGAGUUUCACACUCUCAAACAUUAGGAAGGUAUUCCUAGUACUUUAUACCCAAAUUGCUCAUGUGGCUCUUUAAGACUCUCAGCUGGUCCUCAGCGGAGAUGGAAAACAGCUGCUCACCACCACCUGUGCUUGGAACUCUUCCACGCUUUGGAAGCCCAUUAAAUCAUGUCUCAGCUUGUGAAAUGAAGGCUCACAAAAAGGGUUUUUUUUGACCAGAGUUGGGGAUUAAAUCAGCUAAAUGUUUGGAAUUUUUUGGUAGCUAUGAUGACCAGACAUUCUGCAUUGCAAUAACAAUAGAUAUGUAUUUAUUGAGUACUUAUGUAAUAGGAGUGGAGCAAGCAUGCAGCCGUUAGUCUGUAAUUCUUAUCAGGAGACCUUGAGCGUGGCCAACAGUCAGUGUCCCAGUGGUCCUUGUGGCAGAGAGUGCAGAUUAAGGCCUUCUCCCUGGGGCCCUCUAGGCCCCCCAGCCUCCGGGCCAGUGGAUGAGCUGGGCAGCCUGGGGACAGGCUGAGGGCUGGAUCCUGAAGAGCUCCAGAGUCCUCACCGUAGCUGGGCACAGGCCUGGAAGCAGCAGCGAACCUUUUCCGCAAACCCACAGUCCAUGGAGGCCUCAGCAACUGGAGUGUACGGACAUGGCCUUUAAGGAUCCUGAGGCUGAAACAGACCGACUAUUGCAGUGGAACUCUCUUAGGGAAGGGUCCAAGCUGCUUCUCCUUGAAGACAACAACAUACCAGCCCCAACCUCACAGAUGGUGUUAGUCAUCCUGAUAAUGCACCUCAGUUAAUAUUCAAGUCGGGAUCCAGCUACACUUACUUGCUUUGUGCAACAGUCUUUUUUUGGAAGUGUUGGCUGCUCACAGUUCUACAUACGUUGGAGAGAUCAGAGAUUCUGUCGACCUGGUUCCCAGCCCUGGCCCUAUGACUGAUGGAUGACAAGUGUACCAGUGAGAACUGAAACUUGCAGCACCUGGAUCCCUGUCGCUAAGAGGGAAGAACAGUACUGACCUACCUCAUGCAAUGAAGUGUCAUAUGCAUUAACUGUCUAAUGAUGCUAAAGCUCUCUGAGCAUGUAAACGUGGAACAUUAUCAUUAUGGUUAAUACUAGUCUCCAGGUUGUAAGUUUUUUCUUUCCUCAAAGAGAAGCAGAAAGAUUAUUUAAAGAAAUACUGAAUAGAAGGCUACAGUUUGUUCUUAAGUCAUGAUUGACUUUGAUCAGAAUGGUGUAAACAGUGCGUAUGCGGUCUUGAAGUCCUCAAGAUAAUUAUUUCUACUUCAGGGCAUGAAGACUUCUCUUUCUCCUCCUCCCAUCAAGGGAAAAAGAAAGAAAGAAAAAACUUGGAAAGCUAAUGCUCUUAAAAUACAAGACGAUUUGUCAGGACUCCUGAAGACAGAGAUAAGCCUUCUGUUUCCAGUGAUCAUGGGCCAGAUGAAGCCAGCCUCAGGAUAAUAAACCAGGUGAUGGUUUCAUCUCCCAAGUGUGCUUCCUCGUUUAAAAAACAAAACACACAAGGACACCUAGUGUAUCGUGACCUCCAGGGAAGGAGCCUGUCUGAGCACCAUCGAGUCAAUGCCUAAGAAGUAGACCCUGCAUUUAUGAAGAGGACUGUGGGCUGGGAACUUUCCUAGGACCCCUCUCAAUAGUUCUUCCUUUCUUAUGCAGAGUAACUUAUUUCCCCCAAACCCAUAUCCGAGCACCCUGUCUCUACAUAUUCAACAGGGGACCUUGCGAUUAUAAGGAUUAGUCUUUUGGUGGGUGGCAGGUUGAAUGGGGAGGGGAUGUUAAUAAGUAAUUUUGCUCCCUUCACACAUAAUUUUUAUUCAGUCAGAGUGUGGAAGAGUUUUUGCAACAGGUAGUGUUUUGUUUGUUUGUUUGAAAGAAGAGUCAUUGUGAUUAAAGAAAAAAUGUAAGCUUAUCUCUAUUUCCUUCUACUGCUGAAAAAUAGCUCCUUGACCUUCACUGGUCCAGACUUUCUGCUCUGGGCAACCCAUGGGGCAACACUGUUAAAUACAAUUCUUGAAAUUUUUUUCUAAACCUCUUUCUUUUUUUUUUUUUUUUUGAUAAAAAUCCUUAAUGCAUCUGUACUAGGAAGCACUCUACUUAUCAUAUGCUAUGCAUUGAAUAUUUGUUUCUGUUCAAUAUUCAUAGGUUGAAAUCCUUACCCUCAAACUGAUGGUAUUCAGAGAUGGGGCCCUAGUGGGUGAUGGGAUCUUGAAGGUAGAACCCUCUUCAAUGGGAUUGCUGCUCUUCUAUGGAAGAUCCCAGAGUGAUUUCCCAUCCCUCUGCCAUGUGGAGACAUAGCCAGAAGGCAAUGUCUGUGAACCAGGAACUGGGUUCUUACCAGAUACUAUUGGCACCUUGAUCUUGGACUUCCCGGCCUUCAGAACUGUGAGA
ensembl:lncRNA